GAUGAACGCUAGCGACAGGCUUAACACAUGCAAGUCGAGGGGCAUCAUGAAUAUAGUUUACUAUAUUUGAUGGCGACCGGCGCACGGGUGAGUAACGCGUAUGUAACCUACCUUAUACAGGGGGAUAGCCCAUGGAAACGUGGAUUAACACCGCAUAGUAUAUAUUGAAGGCAUCUUUAAUAUAUUAAAUAUUAAUAGGUAUAAGAUGGGCAUGCGUAACAUUAGAUAGUUGGAGAGGUAACGGCUCCCCAAGUCAACGAUGUUUAGGGGUUCUGAGAGGAAGGUCCCCCACACUGGUACUGAGACACGGACCAGACUCCUACGGGAGGCAGCAGUGAGGAAUAUUGGUCAAUGGGCGCAAGCCUGAACCAGCCAAGUCGCGUGAAGGAAGACGGUUCUAUGGAUUGUAAACUUCUUUUGUAUGGGAAGAAUAAGAGGUACGAGUACCUUGAUGCCUGUACCAUACGAAUAAGCAUCGGCUAACUCCGUGCCAGCAGCCGCGGUAAUACGGAGGAUGCGAGCGUUAUCCGGAUUUAUUGGGUUUAAAGGGUGCGUAGGUGGCUAGUUAAGUUAGUGGUUAAAUGUAUAGGCUCAACCUGUAUUUGCCAUUAAAACUGGCUGGCUAGAGUACACGCGAGGUAGGCGGAAUAAGUUAAGUAGCGGUGAAAUGCUUAGAUAUAACUUAGAACUCCGAUAGCGAAGGCAGCUUACCAGAGUGUAACUGACACUGAUGCACGAGAGCGUGGGUAGCGAACAGGAUUAGAUACCCUGGUAGUCCACGCCGUAAACGAUGCUCACUGGCUCUAUGCGAUACACCGUAUGGGGCUAAGCGAAAGUAAUAAGUGAGCCACCUGGGGAGUACGUCGGCAACGAUGAAACUCAAAGGAAUUGACGGGGGCCCGCACAAGCGGAGGAACAUGUGGUUUAAUUCGAUGAUACGCGAGGAACCUUACCUGGAUUUAAAUGGAGAAUGCCGUACUGGGAAACUAGUAUUUCUUUCGAGACAUUUUUCAAGGUGCUGCAUGGUUGUCGUCAGCUCGUGCCGUGAGGUGUCGGGUUAAGUCCCUUAACGAGCGCAACCCCUAUCGUUAGUUGCCAUCAGGUGAAGCUGGGCACUCUAGCGAGACUGCCACCGUAAGGUGAGAGGAGGGCGGGGAUGACGUCAAAUCAGCACGGCCCUUACAUCCAGGGCUACACACGUGUUACAAUGGACAUUACAGAGGGUCGCUACUUGGUGACAAGAUGCUAAUCUCAAAAAGUGUUCGUAGUUCGGAUCGGAGUCUGUAACUCGACUCCGUGAAGUUGGAUUCGCUAGUAAUCGCGCAUCAGCCAUGGCGCGGUGAAUACGUUCCCGGGCCUUGUACACACCGCCCGUCAAGCCAUGGAAGCUGGGGGUGCCUAAAGUUCGUAACCGACUUGGCGACAAGAAGGAGCGACCUAGGGCAAAACUAGUAACUGGGGCU
rnacentral:rRNA from 1 species